GAAAAUAAGAUUGAAAAGUCAAUAAAGAAGAUGAUAUGUGAAUGCGCAUGAGAAACCCCUUCUUCUUCUUCCCCUUUCUUCUUCUUUCUUUCCUUUCUUUACUUGAUUUCCUCUAUUUCCUUUCCAUUCUACGAUCUCUCGGCCUGCUGAAUCAUCUACUUAUCCUCUUCUUUAUCGAGUUUUUGACCUUUUCUUUUCCUUUCAUUUUUCCUAUAGGCCCCACCUUUGAAAGAAAAAAUAUUACAUCUUCUACAUGAUUGAUUGUGUCUAAUUCAAGUACUCACCCUGCU
rnacentral:lncRNA from 1 species